rnacentral:lncRNA from 1 species
AUGACUAUGGGUCUUCUCUCCUGCUUAGGCCCUGAUGGGUACGACAUCAUUUCUGCUAUACUCUCUUGGUGGAAGGAGUCGAGAGCCCACCUGGAUUCAAAGGACUGGGACAGAGACCCCACCUCUCGAUGGGAGGAGUGUCGAGUGUUUGCAGCAGCUGCUGGAACCACCCUGACUGCGGCAGCAACUGAAGCCAUUACAGCGAUCAGCCCAGGAAAGUCACUGUUGUCGGAGCUGCGAGACUCUCUCUGUUUCCCUGGCAUCAGUUCCUUGGCUGGGGGCCUGCAGGAGAGAAUUCUUAUCUCGGAACCUGGAAGGGCUGAGCUUUCCAACGUCACCUAGACAUUUUCCUGAGCAUUUGAUGGAAAAACAGGCCUGCUCCCUGGAGUGAGGCUGGGUCCAGCCAGCUUCAACGGUUCGCUCCCAGGGGAGGAGGCCAGAAUCCUCGCGUCAACUGUUUGUGGGCCAGGUUCUCUGCUCAGCGCCCUGUCAGCAACCUUGGCAUUUGCAGAUGAUGGUGAGAACUAGAUAUACCUUCUAACUUCAGAAAAGAUAAUUCAUAGCACAUGGCCCUGGUACGGCAGAGGUAGCACUCACCUGUCUUCAAAAACAGGAACUACUUGGGAUGAGAGAUAAGAAAUCACCUGGUUCAACUUUCCCCGAGACCUAACGGGGUCACAGAUGGAGAAGAGCGCACAUGGCUUCCAGCACAGCAAAGCGAAGAAGCACCCACCCCUCUGAGCACAGCAUGUAGGACGUUGCUGUUGGGCAGCCUGGCUGGGCUGGCUGCCAGGAGUGGGGCCUGAGGAAAUCCUCUAAGAACCCUUUGGAGCCCCACACUGACCCUGUGGAUUGGAGCCAGGAGAGCAGGCAAAUCCCCACAGCUGGGGCAUCAGAGGC